rnacentral:lncRNA from 1 species
CCCGGGCGUGUCCUGUGGCUCCAACGGCCGGGCCGGGUCCUCCCGUGGUUCCACCGGCUGCAGCGCCGCGGCCAGGGAUGGAGCCCCCGGGCCGGCCGGUUCUCCCGGUGAGACGGAGGCGAUCUUCGACGGCAGCGCCGGUGCCCCGGGCGUGCCGGGGACGCACGAGGGCAGGGGCUCUGGUGCCUCCCGGGGCCGCAGCUUCUUCUUCAGCACCACGAACUUGACGCCGUCGAGCUCCUUCACCACCGCCACGUCGUUGACAAACUGCUUGAAGCGGUCCCUGCGGGCGGCGCGGCCGUGUGGGUCGCCCGCAUCCAGCAGGGGCUUGAAGCGGCUCAGCAGAUCCGAGUUGCGCACCUGGCCGCCGUGCUCCUGCAGGAAGCCCAGCACCGCCGCCUGGCUCACCCCGGCGGCGGCGGCGGCGGCGGCGGCGGCCAGCGCCAUGGUCAGUGCCGCCCAGCAGAGGAGCCGAGGCCUCCCCACCCGCCCUCGGUUCCCGGCUGCCGGGGCAGGUGUACGUCUCCGCGCCCGCUGGGACGAGCGGAGCGGGGGGUUCCGGGAGCGAGGUCCUCCUCGGCCAGGCUCACCCAGUCGUUUUCACCGAGGCGGGACGGGCGUGUCCCUGAAGCUGGACCUUGGUCACGCCCGCGCCGUGGAGCCCGGGUGUCUCCCGGAGGAAGGUGCCGGGGGCCGCAUCGCGUGCCCACCGCCUCCGCCCCGCCGGGCCCCCAGCCUUCGGGAAUCGCUCACUGAGCAGGAGAACCAGGAUUGGAAGUUCAUGCUUGGAAGACCCGAGGCAACAGUAUGUAGAGUGUAGAAGGAGAAAAUUCAAGAGUUGGAGGUGCACUCAAGCAAGACAAACAUUUCUGUGGACCAGGAACAUCAUCCCUCCAGAGACUCCAGCCACAGUCCUGACAGACUCGCAGCCCUGAUGCAGUGGGGGUAUCCAGGAGCGUGGCUCUUGUGAGGUGCCGGGGGGCUAACUACAUUCGCCACAAGCCUUGUUGCUGAAAUCAGGUGCUGGGGUGGAGCUUGUACAAGGGGAUGUAUAGUUUUUCAUGUUUUUCUU